rnacentral:rRNA from 1 species
GGUCUGUCCACUCGCCUACUUAGCGGGUGUUAGCAAGGGCCGGGCAAGACCGGUGCCAGCCGCCGCGGUAAUACCGGCGGCUCGAGUGGUGGCCGAUAUUAUUGAGUCUAAAGGGUCCGUAGCCGGCUUUGCAAGUCUCUCGGGAAAUCCAGCGGCUUAACCGUUGGGCUGUCGGGGGGUACUACAUUGCUUGGGACUGGGAGAGGUAGGAGGUACUCAGGGGGUAGGAGUGAAAUCCUGUAAUCCUUUGGGGACCACCGGUGGCGAAGGCGUCCUACCAGAACAGGUCCGACGGUGAGGGACGAAAGCUAGGGGCACGAACCGGAUUAGAUACCCGGGUAGUCCUAGCCGUAAACGAUGCUCGCUAGGUGUCACAACAGUCGUGAACUGUUGUGGUGCCGUAGGGAAGCCGUGAAGCGAGCCACUUGGGAAGUACGACCGCAAGGUUGAAACUUAAAGGAAUUGGCGGGGGAGCACCACAACGGGUGGAGCCUGCGGUUUAAUUGGACUCAACGCCGGGAAGCUUACCGGGAUCGACAGUUGUAUGAAGGCCAGGCUGAAGACCUUGCCGGACUAGCUGAGAAGAGGUGCAUGGCC